GUCUCAAACUCCUGAGCUCAGGUGAUCCACCCACCUCGGCCUCCCAAAGUGCUGGGAUUACAGGCGUGAGCUCCCAAGCCUGGCCCUGCUGUGGAGUGUUAAUUCUAUUAAGGUGAACAUUUAAUAGUCCCUACGGACUGGCAGGGCUGGGGCUGAGGUCACAUCAUGUGGCGCUGGUGCUUAGUGCAGGCCACCCCAGUGCUGGAGGGAGGAGGCCCUGAGAAAUGGGACCAGGCUGGGAGCCCCCUAAGGGGUGGAGGCUGUUUGACUCAGAGCAGGGCUUGGUAGGCCACAGCUGGGAGAUCGGGAGCAGGGUGAGAGCCAGCUGUGGCUGAUUUGGCUGUUGAAAGCCAGGCCCUGCACCUCUCUGGGGUCAUGCUCUGAUACAGGAUGGCUCUGUUGCAGCAGGUGAGGCUGACGGGUGGCCUGGACACUAGUGGCUCCUGUCCGGCUCCCUGGCCCUGAGCCCCUCAGUGGUGACAAAGGACUAGGCAGCCACGUCCACUGAGGAUCGUAGUGAGGUCUCAAGCCGCCAAGUGCAGGCACUGUGGAUGGCGUGGGGCAGCACAUGCCCUUGAAGUUGGUCAUGAUGUGGAACUGCCCCCGUGCCUAGCUCGAUGCCUGGCAGGUGGGCCACACGGGUGUCACAUGUGGGAGCUGUGGGGGGACCGCUCCUGUGGCGGCCCCUCUCCUGAAUGUUGGAUAUAUGGGAUGGGGAAAGGUGGGGUAUGUGGCUGGAGGGGUCCAGGGAUGGGGCACUCAGGCUAGAGCCCUCUGAGGGUCCUGGCAGUGAGAUUGGUGUCCAGGAACAUGAAAAGGAGUGGGGACCUGCCCUAAGCUGAUCAGGGGUCCAGAAACAAGAGAGGCCCAUGGGUAUUGGAGCUAUGAGCGCAGGCUAGGGGCUCAGAAGGCAGAGGGGCCUGGAUGUGGUUCCAGCCUGGUAGGGGUGAGUCUGGGGGCCAGCCCAUGAUGGAGGGAAACGUGGCCUGAGAAGCCAGUCUUCACCAAGCUGGAGCCACCGUCCCACAUGGGUGCAAAUGCGGUGAUCUCGCCCUUACCACACAGGGCUGCUGGCUGUGGACUGCGUUCCGGAAGGGGUUAACCACCACAGGCUCUCGGCAGGCCCGCCCAGCCCUCAGCUUGCACCCUUCCCUCCCGCUGCUGGA
rnacentral:lncRNA from 1 species